rnacentral:lncRNA from 1 species
UCUCCUUUUGCUAUGUGCUCUUGCCUUGUAAAAUUUUAGAAAAAUUCUUUGUGCAUUUGGUGCAGAACGCGCGCACUGCGUGCGAUUAUUGGCUCACGCACAGAGCCAGAUAGUGCAUAGAAAAAAAAAAUUUUGUCUGCCCCGCGCGUGAGCUAAUCACCACACGUGGUGUGUACGUUCGUGCACGGCGCGGUGCACAGAGAAUUUUUCAAAAUUUUAUCACGAUGAGCAAUC